CGAACGUUAGCGGUGUGGAUUAGGCAUGCAAGUCGUGCGAGAAAGCUCCCUUCGGGGAGUGAGUAGAGCGGCGAAAGGGUGAGUAAUACGUAACCAACCUACCCCUGAGAUCGGAAUAACCGGUGGAAACGCCGGCUAAUGCCGAAUGGUUCCUCUGGCGGGCAUCCGCCGGUGGAUAAACGGCCUCGGCUGUUCGGGGAGGGGGUUACGGGCUAUCAGCUUGUUGGUGGGGUAACGGCCUACCAAGGCGAUGACGGCUAGCCGGUCUGAGAGGACGAUCGGCCACACUGGGACUGAGACACUGCCCAGACUCCUACGGGAGGCUGCAGUCGAGAAUCUUCCGCAAUGGGCGAAAGCCUGACGGAGCGACACCGCGUACAGGAUGAAGGCCUUCGGGUUGUAAACUGUUGUCACGCUAUAGGAAACGUCUUCGGACCUGACCAAAGCGAGAGGAAGCACCGGCUAACUCCG
rnacentral:rRNA from 1 species